rnacentral:rRNA from 1 species
UACGUAGGGUGCGAGCGUUGUCCGGAUUUCUUGGGCGUAAAGAGCUCGUAGGCGGUUUGUCGCGUCGGCCGUGAAAUCUCCACGCUUAACGUGGAGCGUGCGGUCGAUACGGGCAGACUUGAGUUCGGUAGGGGAGACUGGAAUUCCUGGUGUAGCGGUGAAAUGCGCAGAUAUCAGGAGGAACACCGGUGGCGAAGGCGGGUCUCUGGGCCGAUACUGACGCUGAGGAGCGAAAGCGUGGGGAGCGAACAGG